rnacentral:tRNA from 1 species
GGCGACGUAGCCAAGCGGAAAGGCACUCGGCUGCAACCCGGGGAGCGCGGCUCCUCCGGAGCGGGUUCAAUCCCGCCGUCGCCU